UCUUAACACCUUCCUGACAUUAUGGAGCAAUGUGCGAAAUUUAGAACACCUACUCCUCAUCGAUUUCGAGAAUGCUUUUGACAACGUGAACCGGAAGCGUAUCUGGAAUGCUCUAUACAUUCCGGAAAAACAAACGGCUGUUAUCAGAGCGAGAUAUAAUAGCUCCAAGUGACGCACACUUCAUCGGGGUAAAAUCUCACAGGAAUUUGAAGUUUUUAGCGGAGUCCACCAGGGUGUAACUUGUCACUGAAACUUUUUCGUCUCCUUAUCAUUCCUGAUCUACGCUAAUGACAUCUGAGUGUUCUCUCGCCGCGUUGUGGAAUUUGGCCAAAUGGCUAUGGAUUUAGAAAAGCAGUCAACAGGCGCGGAAUAGUAGAGGAGAAGUGCAAUCUUCUUGGGAAAACGUGGAGGGAGUUGCAAUAAGUCUCAGCGUACCGAUAAGGAUAGUCAUGACUCCAAAACAUGGAUUUGAAGCUGGCUACAAGUUAUUAUAGCUUCUCUUGUGGCUGGAACUACAAGCGUUAUAUAUGGCGAUGAUGAAGGUUCAAAAGUCUAUGGACAACUGCUUUGGAGCAACGAGGUAGUAGUGCGUUAUAAAUAGAUAUAAUUUCGGACCUAAUGCCUCCGAUCGUUUUAAAAUUUGCCAUCCCAACUGUAUAUAACCCCUCAAUCGAGAAAGAACAAGGUUAGUGCAAAAGAUAUGAAUGACCCCUUCCUAAUACAGCAAGCGGUCACAGGGAAUUAUGUGUAUAUUAACGUACCACCAACUAAUAAAAUCCUCCGGGGAAACUUAAGGGUUCCUAAAAGUUAUAACAUUUUUUGGAGCCAUUUCGGUACUGACAAGGAAAUAGGUUUUUUAACUUGAAUUCGAAGAAACUGGAAAAUUGAUUGUCUUGUCUUACAGUGAAAGGUGAACUUCUUGAUUACUUUAAAUUGACUGAGAUAACCCUCAUAGAAUACACAUACCUUACAUCAUAGCACUGUGCAUAGUCUGUUGUGAAAUUUACGGUUUAGGUUUCUUUAGGGCUUCCCUCGAUUUCAUUUGAUUAUUUAGGGUGGCUUA